CAGUAGCCGCGGGAAUACGUAGGGUGCAAGCGUUAAUCGGAAUUACUGGGCGUAAAGCGUGCGCAGGCGGUUAUAUAAGACAGAUGUGAAAUCCCCGGGCUCAACCUGGGAACUGCAUUUGUGACUGUAUAGCUAGAGUACGGCAGAGGGGGAUGGAAUUCCGCGUGUAGCAGUGAAAUGCGUAGAUAUGCGGAGGAACACCGAUGGCGAAGGCAAUCCCCUGGGCCUGUACUGACGCUCAUGCACGAAAGCGUGGGGAGCAAACAGGAUUAGAUACCCGUGUAGUCCCUGUCUCUUAUAU
rnacentral:rRNA from 1 species